UUGUGUUUAGAGAUAAUAGAGGUAAGACUUGAUGUUUAACCUCUUUAUUCUUAUCUCUAGAGUCUGAUUGUUGCGCCUUUAGCAUAUCACCGUUUAAUCACAGGAGUACAUUAUUUUAAAAUAAAGGAAACUAAAAAGCAAGGUGAUGCAUGCUGAGAACUGUGAAGACCUUGUCGUAAUAACCUUGAUGGCCGUAACAGUUUCAUGCACUUAUUGGUACAGAAGUAUUUUGGAAAAUGUUCAAAAUCCUGAAAAAAUAGUUUUUGUGAUCACACAUUUCAUCAGCAUGAAUUAGCUAAAAUCAUUCUGGACAGACACAUUUUAAAGUUUCUAUGAAAAAUCUGAAAAACGUAAACAUGGAACAAUGUCAGCCCUAGAUUUUAGGGGGUCAGUAGGAACUCGACCGAUGGGGGUGUGAUGAACAGCUCGUCCAUGGAAAGCUGACUGGGAAGAAGGAAAAGAGGGCCUGCAUCUCUCCUCACUGCUGAGAGGUCUGAGUCUCAGAAUCUCCAACAAGAAUAUUUUGAUGCUACAACUCUUCGGGGGAGGGCCCGUCGUCCGGACGUGAACAGUGAGGUGUAAAUGGUGAGACACACCAACCAGCCUCUUUACCGCUCAGACCAGGACGUGGAGGCCUCUCCACACGGAGUGCAGGGGACGCCACCCUCCCAGAGCCGGAGGGUCACAAAGGAAAGAGAAAAGGACUCGCACCUUCUCUAACUUCAAUCCUGCAGACACAGAUCAGGAACUGUAAUAUAUGAACACCUAGAAUUCACAGAAAAAUUUCAUUUCCAA